CACGUAGGCGGAUAUUUAAGUCAGGGGUGAAAUCCCAGAGCUCAACUCUGGAACUGCCUUUGAUACUGGGUAUCUUGAGUAUGGAAGAGGUAAGUGGAAUUCCGAGUGUAGAGGUGAAAUUCGUAGAUAUUCGGAGGAACACCAGUGGCGAAGGCGGCUUACUGGUCCAUUACUGACGCUGAGGUGCGAAGGCGUGGGGAGCAAACA
rnacentral:rRNA from 1 species